rnacentral:lncRNA from 1 species
CAUGAAGGAUCUGGUGGAGGGUCGGUCGGUGAUGGACUUUGGAUGGCGUUGGAAAGGUUCGGCAGACAUUGGAGGCGGUCGGUCGUUGUAGGAAUCCAGCUGUCGGAGUCUGUCCAUCGUAGAAGCUCGUCCGAUAUCCAUCCGCUAUGAGAGUUCGGACAGAGCCUGAUUCUUGUAGAAGGCUGAAGGGAGACCGCUUAUUGUAGAAGCUCGAUCAAAGAUCGAUUGUCGUGGGAGCUCGGAGUAGCAACC